GUCGAGCCACUUAACAAUGGCUUGUAACCCAAGUGGGGGCUUUAAGGUGGUUGGAGGUUGGUUCAUCGUAUCUUGUCGGAACUCUUAAGAGGACUACUUGCUUGCCCAUUCCAAGAAGGGAGUUGGGCCUCGCAUUCUAGACGAAAGUCCAAAGUGCGAUGCCUUUAGAUUGGAGGAAACCGCGUGAGGUUGGCCUUACAGAGCAGCGUCACCUCCUGCUCUCGUCGGUGGACGGAUAACGUGCAAGUUCUUGAGAGCCCAAUUACCCUGGUACGAAGUUCAAAACAAGACAACCAACUUU
rnacentral:SRP_RNA from 1 species